rnacentral:rRNA from 1 species
UAACUUUCGAUGGAGGAUAGAGGCCUACCAUGGUGGUAACGGGUAACGGGGUGUUAGGGCACGACACCGGAGAGGGAGCCUGAGAAACGGCUACCACAUCCAAGGAUGGCAGCAGGCGCGCAAAUUACCCAAUCCCGACACGGGGAGGUAGUGACAAUAAAUAACAAUACGGGAUUCUUUAGGAUCUCGUAAUUGGAAUGAGUACAAUUUAAAUCUCUUAACGAGGAACAAUUGGAGGGCAAGUCUGGUGCCAGCAGCCGCGGUAAUUCCAGCUCCAAUAGCGUAUAUUAAAGUUGUUGCAGUUAAAAAGCUCGUAGUUGAAUUUCGGGGUUAGUAGGUUGGUCAUGCCUCCGGUAUGUACUGGUCUCACUGAUUCCUCCUUCCUGGCGAACCGUAAUGCCAUUAAUUUGGUGUUGCGGGGAAUUUGGACUGUUACUUUGAAAAAAUUAGAGUGUUUAAAGCAAGCUAACGCUUGAAUACAUUAGCAUGGAAUAAUGAAAUAGGACGUUCGAUCCUAUUUUGUUGGUUUCUAGGAUUGACGUAAUGAUUAAUAGGGAUAGUUGGGGGCAUUAGUAUUCAAUUGUCAGAGGUGAAAUUCUUGGAUUUAUUGAAGACUAACUACUGCGAAAGCAUUUGCCAAGGAUGUUUUCAUUAAUCAAGAACGAAAGUUAGGGGAUCGAAGACGAUCAGAUACCGUCGUAGUCUUAACCAUAAACUAUGCCGACUAGGGAUCGGAUGAUGUUAAUUUUUUAAUGACUCAUUCGGCGCCUUACGGGAAACCAAAGUGUUUGGA